UUCUUUUUAUAUAAACUCAAAUACUCAAAGUUUUCUUUUUUCCUAUAAGGACACGAUCCGGGUCAGCCGCUUCUUUCAUCAUCGAUCUCCUCUUUUCCUCCCUACCGUUCCAAAUCCUAAGUAACUUUUAAAAAAAAAAAAAAAAAAAAAGAAUUGACUUUAAAAGUUCACUAAUUUUGACUCUUUUUCUUCCAUCUCUUGCUUGUCUUGUUAAGCUUCAACUUUUUAAUUACGUAUUUUUUUCGGAAAUGGAUGAUCAUCAGUAUGGUAUGAUGGAUCUAACGCAGUACAUGAAUGGAAGGCCUCUAUUUGCUACCGUUCCACCACAUCUAACACCAGAUUAUUUAUGCGGUCAGCACCAACACUUCGAGAUGGUAAUGCCUAGUACUACUACCACCGUCCCACAACAUGACAACUUUCCUCCUCCUCCUCCUCAUCAUCAUCACGAGUUUCUUUGCGAUUCCAGCACCAUGGCAGCUGCCACUACUAGAGCUAGUGUCAGUAGUGGUGGUGGUGGUGGGUGCACGUUAAGCGCGUUGGAGGUGGAGGGUGCUGGUGGCUCACAUGGCGGUGAUGGUGGAAAUGGGCGGUGGCCAAGGCAAGAGACACUUACACUUCUUGAAGUUAGAUCAAGACUUGAUUCAAAAUUCAAGGAAGCUAAUCAGAAAGGUCCUCUUUGGGAUGAAGUCUCUAGGAUUAUGUCUGAUGAAUAUGGAUAUCAAAGGAGAGGAAAGAAGUGCAAGGAGAAAUUUGAGAACUUGUACAAAUACUACAAGAAGACUAAAGAAGGGAAAGCUGGAAGACAAGAUGGCAAGCAUUAUAGAUACUUUAGACAGCUUGAAGCUCUCUAUGGUAAAACAAGCAACACAAUCUCAGAAAUCAACCAUGUUAAUACCACCUUACAUUACCAUCAAGAAGGUCAUAAUUUUCAUCAUCAUCAGGGUCCUAAGCUCUCCGACAGUCUUAUCUACAGUCUCUCCGAUUCUUCUGAUUCUGAUGCUACUAAUUCGUCUGACGAUAGUAAUAUGGAAAAUGAUUCAAAAGGAAAGAGGAAGAAUAAGAGAAGGGGGAAAAGGAGUUGGAAAGCUAAGAUAAGAGACUUUGUGGAUAUACAAAUGAAGAAAUUAAUGGAAAAACAAGAAGUUUGGUUAGAAAAAAUGAUGAAGACAAUUGAAGAUAAGGAACAAGAGAGGAUUUUAAGGGAAGACGAAUGGAGGAAAAAACAGGCAAUUAGGAUAGAAAAAGAGCAGAAAUUUUGGGCUAAUGAGAGAGCAUGGAUUGAAGCGCGUGAUGCUGCUUUAAUUGAUGCAUUGCAUAAAUUAAAUGGAGAAGAUAAACUCAUGAAGAGCAGUAAUAAUAUCAAUGAUAAAAAUGGUUCAAUGUUCUUUUGCAGCAAGAAGCAAAAGGACAUGAAUUCAUUGAGCUCAUGUUAUUAUAAUUUCCAGAAGAAUGAAGAAGGGAGAUUAUCAUAUUGUGAAACAUCAAGACAUGUAUCAAAUGUUCAUGAAACAAUUGAUGAUGGGCUGUUUUAGCUAUCUACUUAAUGGGAGAUGUUGACGACUUAUUGUAGUUUUGACAUUCAGCACAAGAGAUUAAAAGUUUCUUGAAAGUGUGCUGGCCACAAGAAGACUGAUCAGAAACGCUAUCAGUAAAUUCAGUAAUACUAAAAGACAGUUCGAGCUAAUUCUGCCACGUCUUAAUACUACUCAGAAACUCUGUACGCAAUAGUUUCCUUCACUAUUUAUCUAGGUUGCACAAAGGAAACCGACAAACCGCAUCA